UGCUAUACUGCAGUCGACGCUUCUUUUUCCACCGGAGCUUGCUCCACCGGAAAAAGAGGAGUGGCGAACGGGUGAGUAACACGUGGGUAACCUGCCCAUCAGAAGGGGAUAACACUUGGAAACAGGUGCUAAUACCGUAUAACAAUCAAAACCGCAUGGUUUUGAUUUGAAAGGCGCUUUCGGGUGUCGCUGAUGGAUGGACCCGCGGUGCAUUAGCUAGUUGGUGAGGUAACGGCUCACCAAGGCCACGAUGCAUAGCCGACCUGAGAGGGUGAUCGGCCACAUUGGGACUGAGACACGGCCCAAACUCCUACGGGAGGCAGCAGUAGGGAAUCUUCGGCAAUGGACGAAAGUCUGACCGAGCAACGCCGCGUGAGUGAAGAAGGUUUUCGGAUCGUAAAACUCUGUUGUUAGAGAAGAACAAGGAUGAGAGUAACUGUUCAUCCCUUGACGGUAUCUAACCAGAAAGCCACGGCUAACUACGUGCCAGCAGCCGCGGUAAUACGUAGGUGGCAAGCGUUGUCCGGAUUUAUUGGGCGUAAAGCGAGCGCAGGCGGUUUCUUAAGUCUGAUGUGAAAGCCCCCGGCUCAACCGGGGAGGGUCAUUGGAAACUGGGAGACUUGAGUGCAGAAGAGGAGAGUGGAAUUCCAUGUGUAGCGGUGAAAUGCGUAGAUAUAUGGAGGAACACCAGUGGCGAAGGCGGCUCUCUGGUCUGUAACUGACGCUGAGGCUCGAAAGCGUGGGGAGCAAACAGGAUUAGAUACCCUGGUAGUCCACGCCGUAAACGAUGAGUGCUAAGUGUUGGAGGGUUUCCGCCCUUCAGUGCUGCAGCUAACGCAUUAAGCACUCCGCCUGGGGAGUACGACCGCAAGGUUGAAACUCAAAGGAAUUGACGGGGGCCCGCAC
rnacentral:rRNA from 1 species